rnacentral:rRNA from 1 species
AGUGAACGCUGGCGGUAGGCCUAACACAUGCAAGUCGAACGGCAGCACAGUAAGAGCUUGCUCUUACGGGUGGCGAGUGGCGGACGGGUGAGGAAUACAUCGGAAUCUACUUUUUCGUGGGGGAUAACGUAGGGAAACUUACGCUAAUACCGCAUACGACCUACGGGUGAAAGCAGGGGAUCUUCGGACCUUGCGCGAUUGAAUGAGCCGAUGUCGGAUUAGCUGGUUGGCGGGGUAAAGGCCCACCAAGGCGACGAUCCGUAGCUGGUCUGAGAGGAUGAUCAGCCACACUGGAACUGAGACACGGUCCAGACUCCUACGGGAGGCAGCAGUGGGGAAUAUUGGACAAUGGGCGCAAGCCUGAUCCAGCCAUACCGCGUGGGUGAAGAAGGCCUUCUGGUUGUAAAGCCCUUUUGUUGGGAAAGAAAAGCAGCAGGUUAACACCCCGCUGUUCUGACGGUACCCAAAGAAUAAGCACCGGCUAACUUCGUG